UAAUAUGAUAUGUUGUCGAUUUGGAUUCUAUGGUUUCAUCAGUCUCUCUUCUCAGCCGUAGUUUCUAGGGUUUGGAUCAAAAAAAAAAUUUCUUCGUGACAAAAAAAAAGAUUAAAUUUUUCAUCUUCUUCCUACCAAUCCAAAAAUUCUAGGGUUGUGGAACGCCACAUACAAGAAGGACUUCGAAACAGCUGUCAAGCGUUAAUCCACAGCCAUAGAGAUUGACGAUGAAGAAAUCUCUUAUAUCACUAUCGGCAUGUAUUUUGAGAGAUGGGCUGAUUGCCAAGAAGUGAAGUUAGCGGUGACAGAAAAGUGCAGAGAACUAUGUUGGAGUUGCUCAAUAAGCUUGAUGGAUUCAGUAGCGAUGAGCGUAUUAAGGUAAUUGUAGCCACUAACCGUGCAGAUAUUCUGGACCCGACACUCAUGCAUUCUGAUCGAAGCCAGAAUCUUGCAGAUUCACUCGAGGAAGAUGUAUGUACACCCAGACGUCAACUCUGAGGAGCUUGCAAGAUCGACAGAUGAUUUCAGUGGCUCAACUGAAAGCAGUAUGGGCGAAUCAUGAGGACAUCAAUGAAGGUAUAAUCCAAGAAGAAAGCAAGUUUGAACUACUACACCUAACCUCACUCAUCAGUUAUCUUGUUUGCUCUCAAUCUUUCAAUUCCGGUUUGGCUCUUUUCAUAUAUUCGAAUCAGGAUAUCAAUAAACAUCAUAUUUGAUUUUCUUUAAAUAUUCUCUUAUCUUUGGAUUCAGAUUUGUAGAGUUCAUAUUUGCUUUUCGUUUCCUUAUGCAACUGUAGAUAUCUUUUAGUUCAAAGAAGUUGAUGAUGGAACUUUUGGUAAUUUUUGCGAGCUUUCAAUAAACAGAGACGGGUGAAGACGUAAGUUGUUUUUUCGGAAGAAUGUAUUAAUCUCAGGGAAGCGAAGUCUCUUGGAAGAAUGAAUCAUCCAAACAUUGUGAAGCUGAAAGAAGCCAUAUGGGAGAAUUUUAUCCUGGAUUGAUUAUGUCUGAGUUGAAGGUUGGCCGGUGUACAUGGGCCUGUUGUUACCGGUCUCCUCCAUUUCCGGGAAGCUAGAAAUGUCAAAAGGUGGAAAGCUUACGGUGAUCGAUAUGGUUCUGGUAGACGAGAAGUUAAGCAAGCUUUGUGCCAAAGACAUGGUCUGUUUCUUAUACGCCAAGUCUUCCCUGCUUCAAGAGGGCGACAAGCGGGUGUGAGUACCCUGAAUACAACAUCAGGGAGUACACAAAGCGAAAGACAUCUGAUGGUUUCCGCAUGAACAAGAAUCUCACUGACCCAUCAAAGGUGGAUGAGGCUUCUGCUGAAGUAAGGCACAGCUGGAGGUUGUAGAAAAGGAUGAAAAUAGGUGUAGAACCGGCAGUAUGUGAGUCAUGCUUUUCAUAGCAACGUCUCCCUCUAGCCAAAGUCAUCUUCUCUCUUGACAAGCAAUGUCGAAAUUGAGUAGCUAGGAGAUAAAAGAUGUUAAGGUGAACAUCGAACCUGAGAUAAGGUUCAUAAAUCAAAUGAAAAAUAACUUUCUUAUCUUUUUUAACCUAGCUAACGGUUGAUGAAUAUGAAGUCAGCUGGUAAUUUUGAUUUUACGCUUGCAACUUUUAAGAUUUUCCCAAACUGUUUCCCGAUGUUCUUGGGACUACUUGCAGUGAUGGUAUGAAGCACUACUUGACUCCGUUUUCAGGGGAAACUCACCGCCUAUAUUCAGGUCUCCAGUGAAGUGUGACCAACCACUCAUGUGAGAACACUGACCUAGAUCAGAGGUUACUUCUAACUCUUAACGCCUCAGCUUCCAAAUCUUUUUCAGUCUCACUCGCUCUUCUUCUCCUACGAUUAGCUGUGCUUCGGUUUCAACUUCCUCUCUUGAUAUUCUUUCCAUAUGUAUGCUGAUUGAGUUUUCCAAUCUUCUCAGCAUUUUUUUAACUGCGUAUGUGAAAUUCUUGCGGUUUUUAAGUCAAUGAAAAGAUCAUCUUGAUGCUC